AGCUAGCCAGUGAUGGCAUGCGAAUCUCGAAAGCCUAUCUCAGUUCGGAUUGGAGGCUGAAACCCGCCUCCAUGAAGUUGGAUUCGCUAGUAAUCGCGCAUCAGCCAUGGCGCGGUGAAUACGUUCCCGGGCCUUGUACACACCGCCCGUCAAGCCAUGGGAGCCGGGGGUGCCUGAAGUUCGUUACCGCAAGGAUCGACCUAGGGCAAAACUGGUGACUGGGGCUAAGUCGUAACAAGGUACC
rnacentral:rRNA from 1 species